AUUUAGCGCCACGCAAGUCCGUGAGGAUCUAUGCAAACUCGUUCGAGGACGAGGCCGGACCAGAUGACCUUGUUGCCUCCAAGACAACUUGCAAGUCCUGGGGAGUUGGCAGCGGGGAAUACAAACUCUGCGACGACAAAGGAACGGAGAAGGCAAAUUCCAAGAU